rnacentral:rRNA from 1 species
GAUGAACGCUGGCGGCGUGCCUAAUACAUGCAAGUCGAGCGAACGGACGAGAAGCUUGCUUCUCUGAUGUUAGCGGCGGACGGGUGAGUAACACGUGGAUAACCUACCUAUAAGACUGGGAUAACUUCGGGAAACCGGAGCUAAUACCGGAUAAUAUUUUGAACCGCAUGGUUCAAAAGUGAAAGACGGUCUUGCUGUCACUUAUAGAUGGAUCCGCGCUGCAUUAGCUAGUUGGUAAGGUAACGGCUUACCAAGGCAACGAUGCAUAGCCGACCUGAGAGGGUGAUCGGCCACACUGGAACUGAGACACGGUCCAGACUCCUACGGGAGGCAGCAGUAGGGAAUCUUCCGCAAUGGGCGAAAGCCUGACGGAGCAACGCCGCGUGAGUGAUGAAGGUCUUCGGAUCGUAAAACUCUGUUAUUAGGGAAGAACAUAUGUGUAAGUAACUGUGCACAUCUUGACGGUACCUAAUCAGAAAGCCACGGCUAACUACGUGCCAGCAGCCGCGGUAAUACGUAGGUGGCAAGCGUUAUCCGGAAUUAUUGGGCGUAAAGCGCGCGUAGCGGUUUUUUAAGUCUGAUGUGAAAGCCCACGGCUCAACCGUGGAGGGUCAUUGGAAACUGGAAAACUUGAGUGCAGAAGAGGAAAGUGGAAUUCCAUGUGUAGCGGUGAAAUGCGCAGAGAUAUGGAGGAACACCAGUGGCGAAGGCGACUUUCUGGUCUGUAACUGACGCUGAUGUGCGAAAGCGUGGGGAUCAAACAGGAUUAGAUACCCUGGUAGUCCACGCCGUAAACGAUGAGUGCUAAGUGUUAGGGGGUUUCCGCCCCUUAGCGCUGCAGCUAACGCAUUAAGCACUCCGCCUGGGGAGUACGACCGCAAGGUUGAAACUCAAAGGAAUUGACGGGGACCCGCACAAGCGGUGGAGCAUGUGGUUUAAUUCGAAGCAACGCGAAGAACCUUACCAAAUCUUGACAUCCUUUGACAACUCUAGAGAUAGAGCCUUCCCCUUCGGGGGACAAAGUGACAGGUGGUGCAUGGUUGUCGUCAGCUCGUGUCGUGAGAUGUUGGGUUAAGUCCCGCAACGAGCGCAACCCUUAAGCUUAGUUGCCAUCAUUAAGUUGGGCACUCUAAGUUGACUGCCGGUGACAAACCGGAGGAAGGUGGGGAUGACGUCAAAUCAUCAUGCCCCUUAUGAUUUGGGCUACACACGUGCUACAAUGGACAAUACAAAGGGCAGCGAAACCGCGAGGUCAAGCAAAUCCCAUAAAGUUGUUCUCAGUUCGGAUUGUAGUCUGCAACUCGACUACAUGAAGCUGGAAUCGCUAGUAAUCGUAGAUCAGCAUGCUACGGUGAAUACGUUCCCGGGUCU